UACGAAGGUGGCAAGUGUUACUCGGAAUUACUAGGCGUAAAGGGCAGGUAGGCGGUCUCGUUAGUCUGUUGUGAAAGCUCCUUGCUUAACGGGGAGAGGCCAACAGAUACUGCGAGGCUUGAGUAUAGGAGAGGGUACUGGAAUUCCCGGUGUAGCGGUGAAAUGCGCAGAGAUCGGGAGGAACACCAAUGGCGAAAGCAGGUACCUGGACUAUUACUGACGCUCAGCUGCGAAAGCUAGGGGAGCAAACAGG
rnacentral:rRNA from 1 species